GAGGGGAAGAGAGACAGAGAGAUCCAGACAUAUAUCUUUAACAGUCAUACAUACUACUUUUCUGUAGUAUGACUACAUUCCUCAUGGUUCUUUACCAAUUCCUUCAAUGUGUGUGUGUGUGUGUGUCCUAAGAAUAGAGUGUGCUCUUGUAGAGCCUCAGUGUGAUUUUCAACUUCCAGAAAUACAACACCCAAGCACUGACUUUAAUAUAAUUAGGAAAAAAAAAAACCACAUCAGAAAACAUAAGGAUUUUUUCUUCUGCAACUAAACGCUACACCUCUGUUUUCAUGUGAUUUGUAUAUAGCAAUCUACAAGCCCAGUUGUUUCAUUGUUUUAAGAUUUUUAAUUGGAUGUCUUUAGUGUGUCUCUGUGUGCGUUUAUUUAUUUGUAUGUGUUGUAUGUGUGCACGAGUGGCAGCGGUCAGAGGAAGGUAGAUAGGCAGGGAUCCAUCGUCUCCUCUGCCAGUUCCAUCUGGGGGAUCAAACUCAGGUUGUGAGACUUGGCAGCGAGAGCCUUUACCCACCAAGCCAUUUCAUAAUCUUUUUGUUGUUGUUUUUCAAGACAGAAUCUCAUUGUGUAGCCCUGGCUGUCCUGGAACUCACUCUGUAGACUAGGCUGACCUUGAACUCAGAGUUCUGACUGAUGCACCACCAUUAUUGCCUUUAUUUAUUUAUUUGCUUGUUUGCUUGUUUGUUUGUUUAUUUAUUUAUUUAUUUAUUUAUUUAUUUAUUUAUGAGAUAAGGUCUCAUUGGGUAAUUCUAGAAUUAGUAAUUCUGUUCUGUGGCACCCACUAUGUAGACCAUGCUGGCCUCUAACUCCUUGGGGUUCUCCUGCCUCUGCCUCCCUAACCGUAAACCUGAGUGUUAGUAUUACAGAUGUCCACCACUAGGCCUAGGUUGAGAUAUUUAAUUUUUUCUUACUAUGCCCAUCUCAGUAAAGUGAACUUCUAUGGUACCAAUAGUUAAGUAGCAAGGCGUGUGUAGUGAGAUCCUUGUUUUCAAUCAAGUGAUGCUGCUCCUCCUCUCAUUAGGGCGUCUAAGCACAUCAGGCACGUUGCCCCUUUAUGGUGCCCCUUUAUGGCUCGAGCCAUAAGGGGAAGAGGCUUUUGUCACUCUUUCUGAGCCUCUCUCCUGUUGACUUUCACUGUGAACUCACUGAGUGUCCUAGACCUCAACCAAGGAGUGGUUCUUGUUGGUGACAUUUGUCCUCAGUGCGUCUCACCGAGCUCCCUCCGCCCCUCCCCACACUGUGGGUUUCCUAAAAUUCUUGGCUUCUCUCUCGCCAUUGCUUAGGAAUCAAACAUUCCAAAACAUUGCAGCUGGAAGCAGGACAAGUCUCAACACAUUCUUCCCGAGUGAGGCCCUGCUUGUAUAGGAGAGGGUUUGAGAGCUGCAGUGAUGAGGGGAAGUUCUCAGUGGCCAACUGCCCCUGAAGGCAGAGACCAGGCUCCCUCCACGUGGAGGGGUGGGCGUGGCUUCUCAGGAGUGCAACGCUGGGACUUUCUUGGUGAUAGAGAGUUCAUCAUGUUUCUUAUUUCUCUACCUCUGUUCCCAACUGAAAAAUUUUUAUAUUAAAAAUUCAAGACAGUGCUUUCAUUUUUAAAUUCCGUUUUAUUUUUAUCCGUUUUAUAAAAACAUAGAUUAAAAGUCAAACAGCAGCAGUCUUUCUCAGGCCCAGCCCCACUUCCCAGAGGAACCUCUUUGAACUCUUUUGUUUUUGUUUUUUUUUUCCCCUCCAAAUCACUGCCCUCACUCAGAUGUCUUGAAUGCAGUCUUAUUGGUUUUUAAACGUUGCCUGCUGACUCCCUGUGAGAAGGACCUGCCCUUUUUAACACAAGCCCUCCUCACUCCUCUCCAUUCUGAUAGCCAUGCCUUGUGGGGCAGACCCUGCCGUUGGGUUUCCACUAUGAAGAUGAUUUAAACAUUAUCCACUAUAGAGAGAACUGAGAGAGGUGGUGUCUCUUUGCCUGUACAAUUGUUCAGCUGUUUUUUCCUGAGCUACACAUUAUCGUUAAAAGACUGGUUUUACUGCCUACACAUGUCAAGUUCUUCCCCAGUGCCCCUGCAGACCUACUGGGUGCCUACUGCUGUCUUUACUCCCAGCUUCCAAGCCCUCCAUCAUCUGUCACUAAGAUAGCCCCUCCUGUAGCUCCCAUCCUCCUGCUCUGGCCUAGACUUGUUCAUCUGGGAUCCCCUUUUUGUGUGAUCUGGCUUAGAUCCUUCUUUUCUUGGAUUGUAAGUCUUGGUUCCUUGUUAUUGGUUGGUUGAUUGAUUUUGUUGUAGUAUUGUUUGUUGUUGGUUUGUGCCUUGGGCUGGGGGUGGGGGACGUCUUCCAGUUGCUUCUUGGGAAAAUGCAUAGGAGGUAAAUUUUCAGAGGCCACGUGGAGCUGAAAGUGUCUGGGGGUGGAGGUGGGUCACACAGAAUUGUCACUUGAAAACUUCUAAAAUUUAAAGGAAGAGCUGGAGAUGAUUCAGUGAUUAAGCACAGUGUGAUGACUGGCGUUUGAGUCCCCAGGAACCCAUGGAAAUGACAGCUGGGCAUAGAGGCCUGCCUACAAUUCAAGCUUUCAAAGGCAGAGACCAAAGGAUCCUCAGCUAGCUAGCUAGCUAGCUAGGGAGAUUAGCUGAAUCUUCAAGAUCUAGGAUUGAUUGAGAGACCCUGCCUCAGUGAAUUAUGAGGAGGUGUGAUCCUAAAAUCACCCAUGGCUUCUACAUGCACCCCCCCAAACAUUCAGAUAUACACACAGACAUGUACACCGCUUUUUGCAUACGAAGUCGAAAAUUAAUUAAAAUAAAAUUUAGAAGUAGCACUUUACUUCCAUUUUGAGUCCUUGAUGCUGCUCUUCUUUCUGGAGAUUUAUAAAAAUAACUGUCUUAGUAGACAACCUCAGCAUAGACCAUUCCAGGGGAAACCGCAUGCCUCUUGUAAGCCCUCAUCUGUGCAUCUCAUCUGUGCAUCCCUUUCGUAAGCAGCUUCUGAGGUUGCUGUGGCUGCCGACUCUCAGCUGGCCCCACGUCUGCUGCUCCUUCCCUCAUCACUCCAUAACAGCGGGUUCUCCAGACGUUAGGAGGCAGCUUGGAGAAACACUCAUAUCUUGGUUUGGUU
rnacentral:lncRNA from 1 species